rnacentral:rRNA from 1 species
GAUGAACGCUGGCGGCGUGCCUAAUACAUGCAAGUCGAGCGAACAGACGAGGAGCUUGCGCCUUUGACGUUAGCGACGGACGGGUGAGUAACACGUAGGUAACCUACCUAUAAGACAGGGAUAACUUCGGGAAACCAGAGCUAACACCGGAUAAAAGUACGAACCGCAAGGUUCGAGAGUAGAAGAUGGCUUUGCUAUCACUUAUAGAUGGACCUGGGCUGUAUUAGCUUGUGGGGAAGGUAACGGCUUACCAAGGCAACGAUACGUAGCCGACCUGAGGGGGUGAUAGGCCACACCGGAACUGAGCCACGGCCCAGACUCCUACGGGAGGCAGGAGUAGGGAAUGUUCCGCAAUGGGCGAAAGCUUGACGUAGCCCAGCCGCGUGAGUUGUGAAGUUCUUCGGAUCGUAAAACUCUGUUAUUAGUGAAGAACAAUCGUGUAAGUAACUGUGCACGCCUUGACGGUACCUAAUCAGAAAGCCCCGGCUAACUCCGUG